rnacentral:rRNA from 1 species
UACGAAGGGGGCUAGCGUUGCUCGGAAUCACUGGGCGUAAAGCGCACGUAGGCGGGUCUUUAAGUCGGGGGUGAAAUCCUGGAGCUCAACUCCAGAACUGCCUUCGAUACUGAGGAUCUCGAGUCCGGGAGAGGUGAGUGGAACUCCGAGUGUAGAGGUGAAAUUCGUAGAUAUUCGGAAGAACACCAGUGGCGAAGGCGGCUCACUGGCCCGGUACUGACGCUGAGGUGCGAAAGCGUGGGGAGCAAACAGGG